AGAGUUUGAUCAUGGCUCAGAACGAACGCUGGCGGCAGGCUUAACACAUGCAAGUCGAGCGCCCCGCAAGGGGAGCGGCAGACGGGUGAGUAACGCGUGGGAAUCUACCCAUCCCUACGGAACAACUCCGGGAAACUGGAGCUAAUACCGUAUACGCCCUUUGGGGGAAAGAUUUAUCGGGGAUGGAUGAGCCCGCGUUGGAUUAGCUAGUUGGUGGGGUAAAGGCCUACCAAGGCGACGAUCCAUAGCUGGUCUGAGAGGAUGAUCAGCCACAUUGGGACUGAGACACGGCCCAAACUCCUACGGGAGGCAGCAGUGGGGAAUAUUGGACAAUGGGCGCAAGCCUGAUCCAGCCAUGCCGCGUGAGUGAUGAAGGUCUUAGGAUUGUAAAGCUCUUUCACCGGAGAAGAUAAUGACGGUAUCCGGAGAAGAAGCCCCGGCUAACUUCGUGCCAGCAGCCGCGGUAAUACGAAGGGGGCUAGCGUUGUUCGGAAUUACUGGGCGUAAAGCGCACGUAGGCGGAUAUUUAAGUCAGGGGUGAAAUCCCAGAGCUCAACUCUGGAACUGCCUUUGAUACUGGGUAUCUUGAGUAUGGAAGAGGUAAGUGGAAUUGCGAGUGUAGAGGUGAAAUUCGUAGAUAUUCGCAGGAACACCAGUGGCGAAGGCGGCUUACUGGUCCAUUACUGACGCUGAGGUGCGAAAGCGUGGGGAGCAAACAGGAUUAGAUACCCUAGUAGUCC
rnacentral:rRNA from 1 species